UGACGCUGGCGGCGUGCCUAACACAUGCAAGUCGAGCGGCAGCGCGGGGCAACCUGGCGGCGAGCGGCGGACGGGUGAGUAACGCUUGGGAAUCUGCCUGUUAGUGGGGGACAACCCGGGGAAACUCGGGCUAAUACCGCAUACGCACUACGGUGGAAAGCCGGGGACCGCAAGGCCUGGCGCUAACAGAUGAGCCCAAGUCGGAUUAGCUAGUUGGUAGGGUAACGGCCUACCAAGGCGACGAUCCGUAACUGGUCUGAGAGGACGACCAGUCACACCGGAACUGAGACACGGUCCGGACUCCUACGGGAGGCAGCAGUGGGGAAUAUUGGACAAUGGGGGCAACCCUGAUCCAGCGACGCCGCGUGGGUGAAGAAGGCCUGCGGGUUGUAAAGCCCUUUCAGUGGGGAAGAAAAGCCUCGAAUUAACACCUCGGGGUCUUGACGUAACCCAUAGAAGAAGCACCGGCUAACUCUGUGCCAGCAGCCGCGGUAAU
rnacentral:rRNA from 1 species